rnacentral:rRNA from 1 species
AAGUCGUAACAAGGUCUCCGUUGGUGAACCAGCGGAGGGAUCAUUACAGAGUUAUCCAAACUCCCAAACCCAUGUGAACUUACCUAUGUUGCCUCGGCAGGACUUACCCGGUAGCUACCCGGUAGCUACCCGGUAUCUACCCGGUACGUACCCUGUAAUUGCUGGGUAAGCCUGCCGAAGGACCAUUUAAACUCUUGUUUUAUUGUGGCACUCUGAAUAACCAAAACUAAAUAAGUUAAAACUUUCAACAACGGAUCUCUUGGUUCUGGCAUCGAUGAAGAACGCAGCGAAAUGCGAUAAGUAAUGUGAAUUGCAGAAUUCAGUGAAUCAUCGAAUCUUUGAACGCACAUUGCGCCCACUAGUAUUCUGGUGGGCAUGCCUGUUCGAGCGUCAUUUCGACCCCUAAGCCUUAGUUGUUUAGCGUUGGGGGCUUGCGUCCUCGCGGCGCAACCCCUUAAAUUUCGUGGCAGGGCUCGCGUCGCCUUGAAGUGUAGUAAUUAUGUUCUCACUUUUAGGGGGUGUUCGCGCGGCACAGCCAAGUGAAACCUUAUAUAUCUAGUGGUUGACCUCGGAUCAGGUAGGAAUACCCGCUGAACUUAA